GGGCGGUUAGCUCAGUUGGCUAGAGCGCCUGCUUUACACGCAGGAGGUCACAGGUUCAAGUCCUGUACCGCCCA
rnacentral:tRNA from 1 species